GAUGAAGAACGUAGCGAAAUGCGAUAAGUAAUGCGAAUUGCAGAAUCCGUGAGUCAUCGAAUCUUUGAACGCACAUUGCGCCCCUUGGUUAUUCCGAAGGGCAUGCCUGUUCGAGCGUCAUUAUCACCCCUCAAGCCCUGGCUUGGUGUUGGACUUUAGUUAUAGCUUUGCCUAUCAACUGGUCUCAAAGAUAGUGACGGCGCCCCAGAGGGAACCGGGUACGAGGAGCUUUUUACUAAGCAUGUAUCUGGGACGACUCUGGGCAACGGUCUUGUUAUACUUUUUACCUAAGUGUUGACCUCGGAUCAGGUAGGAAUACCCGCUGAACUUAAGCAUAUCAAUAAGCGGAGGA
rnacentral:misc_RNA from 1 species